UGGGGAAUAUUGGACAAUGGGCGAAAGCCUGAUCCAGCCAUGCCGCGUGUGUGAAGAAGUUCUUCGGAUUGUAAAGCACUUUAAGUUGGGAGGAAGGGCAGUAAGCGAAUACCUUGCUGUUUUGACGUUACCGACAGAAUAAGCACCGGCUAACUCUGUGCCAGCAGCCGCGGUAAUACAGAGGGUGCAAGCGUUAAUCGGAAUUACUGGGUGUAAAGCGCGCGUAGGUGGUUCGUUAAGUUGAAUGUGAAAGCCCCGGGCUCAACCAGGGAACUGCAACCAAAACUGGCGAGCCGGAGUAGGGCAGAGGGUGGUGGAAUUUCCUGUGUAGCGUUGAAAUGCGUAGAUAUAGGAAGGAACACCAGUGGCGAAGGAGACUACCGGGGCUAAUACUGACAAAGAGGAGCGAAAGCGUGGGGAGCAAACAGG
rnacentral:rRNA from 1 species